GUAGUCCACGCCCUAAACGAUGCACAUUUGGUGUGGGGAACAGUUGGUCCGUGCCGGAGCUAACGCGUUAAAUGUGCCGUUUGGGGAGUACAGUCGCAAGGCUGAAACUCAAAGGAAUUGACGGGGGCCCGCACAAGCGGUGGAGCAUGUGGUUCAAUUCGACGCAACGCGAAGAACCUUACCUGGGCUCGAACGGCUCACGCCGACUCUGGAAACAGGGUUUUCCCGCAAGGGACGGGAGUCGAGGUGCUGCAUGGCUGUCGUCAGCUCGUGUCGUGAGAUGUUGGGUUAAGUCCCGCAACGAGCGCAACCCUUGUCCUGUGUUGCCAUGCCGAAAGGCGGAACUCGCAGGAGACCGCCAGCGAUAAGCUGGAGGAAGGUGGGGAUGACGUCAAGUCCUCAUGGCCUUUAUGUCCAGGGCUACACACGUGCUACAAUGGCCGGUACAAAGCGUCGCUAAGUCGCGAGACGGAGCCAAUCGCAGAAAACCGGUCUCAGUUCGGAUUGCAGGCUGCAACUCGCCUGCAUGAAGCUGGAAUCGCUAGUAAUGGCAGAUCAGCACGCUGCCGUGAAUA
rnacentral:rRNA from 1 species